CGGAGGAUCCAAGCGUUAUCCGGAUUUAUUGGGCGUAAAGAGCUCGUAGGCGGUUUGUCGCGUCUGCUGUGAAAUCCCGAGGCUCAACCUCGGGUCUGCAGUGGGUACGGGCAGACUAGAGUGCGGUAGGGGAGAUUGGAAUUCCUGGUGUAGCGGUGGAAUGCGCAGAUAUCAGGGGGAACACCGAUGGCGAAGGCAGAUCUCUGGGCCGUAACUGACGCUGAGGAGCGAAAGGGUGGGGAGCAAACAGGCUUAGAUACCCUGGUAGUCCACCCCGUAAACGUUGGGAACUAGUUGUGGGGUCCAUUCCACGGAUUCCGUGACGCAGCUAACGCAUUAAGUUCCCCGCCUGGGGAGUACGGCCGCAAGGCUA
rnacentral:rRNA from 1 species